rnacentral:snRNA from 1 species
GCAUGAGCACUCUCUCAGUCUCUCUCUCUCACUGAUCACCAGGGUUGAUUCAGCUGAUCUGGCUGGUGAGGCGGGAGCCCCCUUUCUCCCUCGAAAUUCCAUGUGUGUCUCUCCUGAAACUGUAUGCUCCCAUGAAGAAGAAGACCUUCCUCGAUAGAGGAGGACCAUUCUUCAGUCAAAGGUAUACAAGUAGCUGUGCUCCCCUGCCCCUGCUAGAACCUCCAAACAAGCUCUCAAAUAUAAAUAAAUAAAUAAAGAAAGAAAGAAAGAACAAACAAACAAAUAAAUAAAAAGGAGUCAUUCUUAACUAUAAGCAUUCACCAAGGUCCUGAGGCUCUUU